CAUGUAGGGUGCGAGCGUUGUCCGGAAUUAUUGGGCGUAAAGAGCUCGUAGGCGGUGUGUCGCGUCGGCCGUGAAAACCUGCAGCUUAACUGUGGGCUUGCGGUCGAUACGGGCAUCACUGGAGUUCGGCAGGGGAGACUGGAAUUCCUGGUGUAGCGGUGAAAUGCGUAGAUAUCUGGAGGAACACCGGUGGCGAAGGCGGCAUCCUGGACCAAUUCUGACGCUGAGGAGCGAAAGCCAGGGGAGCAAACGGG
rnacentral:rRNA from 1 species